CGACAUUUCCAUUCAGAAUACAAAAUUUGGCAAUAAGAAUA
rnacentral:sRNA from 14 species